UACGUAGGGUGCAAGCGUUGUCCGGAAUUAUUGGGCGUAAAGAGCUCGUAGGCGGUCUGUCGCGUCUGCUGUGAAAACUCGGGGCUUAACCCCGGGCCUGCAGUGGGUACGGGCAGACUAGAGUGCGGUAGGGGAGACUGGAAUUCCUGGUGUAGCGGUGAAAUGCGCAGAUAUCAGGAGGAACACCGGUGGCGAAGGCGGCUCUCUGGACCGAUACUGACGCUGAGGCGCGAAAGCGUGGGGAGCAAACAGG
rnacentral:rRNA from 1 species